rnacentral:rRNA from 1 species
UACGUAGGGGGCAAGCGUUGUCCGGAUUUAUUGGGCGUAAAGAGCUCGUAGGUGGUUCGGUAAGUCGGAUGUGAAAUCUCCAGGCUCAACCUGGAGGGGUCAUUCGAUACUGCCGUGACUAGAGUUCGGUAGGGGAGUGUGGAAUUCCUGGUGGAGCGGUGGAAAUGCGCAGAUAUCAGGAGGAACACCAGUGGCGAAGGCGGGUCUCUGGACCGAGACUGACGCUGAGGCGCGAAGGCGUGGGAGCAAACGGG